rnacentral:rRNA from 1 species
AUAUCAAUAAGCGGAGGAAAAGAAACCAACAGGGAUUGCCCUAGUAACGGCGAGUGAAGCGGCAACAGCUCAAAUUUGAAAUCUGGUCCUUUCAGGGCCCGAGUUGUAAUUUGUAGAGGGCACUUUGGCGUUGGCAUCGGCCUAAGUUCCUUGGAACAGGGCGUCGCAGAGGGUGAGAACCCCGUAUGUGGCCCUUUGCCUUCGCUAUGUAAAGUCCCUUCGAAGAGUCGAGUUGUUUGGGAAUGCAGCUCUAAAUGGGAGGUAAAUUUCUUCUAAAGCUAAAUACUGGCCAGAGACCGAUAGCGCACAAGUA